GGGGAUUUAGCUCAGUGGUAGAGCACUUGCCUAGCAAGCACAAGGCCCUGGGUUCCGUCCCCAGCUCCA
rnacentral:tRNA from 1 species